CAGCCGCCGCGGUAAUACCAGCUCUUCAAGUGGUCGGGAUAAUUAUUGGGCUUAAAGUGUCCGUAGCCGGUUUAGCAAGUUCCUGGUAAAAUCGGGUAGCUUAACUAUCUGUAUGCUAGGAAUACUGCUAUACUAGAGGGCGGGAGAGGUCUGAGGUACUACAGGGGUAGGGGUGAAAUCUUAUAAUCCUUGUAGGGCCACCAGUGGCGAAGGCGUCAGACUGGAACGCGCCUGACGGUGAGGGACGAAAGCCAGGGGAGCGAACCGGAUUAGAUACCCGGGUAGUCCUGGCCGUAAACGAUGCAUACUAGGUGAUGGUACGGCCAUGAGCCGUAUCAGUGCCGUAGGGAAACCGUUAAGUGUGCCGCCUGGGAAGUACGGUCGCAAGGCUAAAACUUAAAGGAAUUGGCGGGGGAGCACCACAAGGGGGUGAAGCCUGGCGUUCAAUUGGACUCAACGCCGGAAAACUUACCAGGGGAGACAGCAGUAUGACGGUCAGGUUGACGACCUUACCCGACGAGCUGAGAGGAAGUGCAUGGCCGUCGCCAGUUCGUGCCGUGAGGUAUCCUGUUAAGUCAGGCAACGAACGAGAUCCGCACCUUUAUUUGCCAACAAGAAGUCACGACUUCGUGGGAACACUAAAGGGACCGCCGUCGAUAAGACGGAGGAAGGAGCGGGCAAAGGCAGGUCAGUAUGCCCCGAAACCCCUGGGCUACACGCGGGCUGCAAUGGUAUGAACAAUGGGCUGUGACUCCGAAAGGAGAAACCAAUCCCGAAAAUCAUAUCUCAGUUGGAAUUGUCGGCUGUAACCCGCCGACAUGAACGUGGAAUCCCUAGUAAUCGUGUGUCAUCAUCGCACGGUGAAUACGUCUCUGCUCCUUGCACACACCGCCCGUCGCUCCAUCCGAGUGUGCUAAAAAUGAGGUUUGGUCAAUUUGGUCAUAUCGAGUUCUAGUAUGCGAGGAGGGAGAAGUCGUAACAAGGUAACCGUA
rnacentral:rRNA from 1 species